AAAUCUGAUGCAACCCGGCAUUGUGGAAGCAACAUGGCUGAAGACGAGCUGUUACCGUUUGAUCCCUCAAAUAUGAAAAAGAAGAAGAAGAAAAAGAAGAUGCCAUUUGAAUUGGAUGGAGGAACAGAGGAGGCAGAGACCCCCACCCCAGCCCCAGAGGAGGAGGCACCUGCAGCAGAGCCAGAAACCUCUGAAAAAGCAGAUGAUGAUUUUUCACUGGACUUUGGUAUCAAAAAGAAAAAAGGUGGACUUCACAAUGAUUGAAAAUGAAGAUUCUGAAAAGCCAAGUGAUGACCUGGACCUGGAUGAUGCUCGGCCCGUGCCCGAGGGGAAGGCGUGGCUUGCCUCUGACAGGGACUACACAUACGAUGAGUUACUGACACGAGUAUUUGAUAUCAUACGAGAGAAAAAUCCUGACAUGGUUGCUGGAGAAAAGAAGAAAUUUGUCAUGAGACCUCCACAGGUGCUGAAAGUUGGAACUAGAAAGUCAUCAUUUGCAAACUUCUCAGACAUAUGUAGAUUAUUACAUCGACAACCCAAACAUGUAUUGGCAUUUUUAUUAGCCGAAUUGGGAACUAGCGGGUCUGUGGACGGUAAUAACCAGCUCAUUAUCAAAGGAAAAUACAACCAGAAACAGAUUGAAAAUGUCCUUAGGCGAUAUAUCAAGGAAUACGUGACUUGUCACACCUGUAGAUCACCAGACACUCUCCUACAGAAAGACACAAGAAUUUUCUUCCUCCAGUGUGAGUCGUGUGGAUCAAGAUGUUCCGUCACUAGCAUUAAAUCCGGAUUCCAGGCCGUCACAGGAAAGAGAGCGGCCAUACGAGCAAAGACGGCAUGAUUGUAAUCACCUUCUGUCAGAACUUUCAGGUCUUUCAUUUUACCAGUGGUUAAUGCCGUGAUUGCUGUUUGUUUGAAAGCAAAUAUGAAGGGUACAUCAAGAACAAGUAAAUAAGUUCAUGUGAACUGAACUUUGUGUAUGAUUUGUAUAUAAAGUGCAUAUAUAACUGCUUUAUGAUUAUGUCUGGAGUUAUUUUAGCUAAUUGUUUAUACCAUUACAAAAAUAAGAGUUCAACGGGCAUCCACUGCAACAAAUGCAAAAACUACUGAUUCGGAUUGUAAAUUGUCGUCUCCAGAAGUUGUGUAUUUGUUUGACAUCCCAGAAAGACUGGGUGAAACGCGUCAUUCUUUCUGUAAAUUAUCAAAACAUAUUUAUUGUCCAUGAUUUUAAUGACAAUAAAUCAUAUUGAGAAUUC
rnacentral:misc_RNA from 1 species